rnacentral:lncRNA from 1 species
CCCGCCUCAGCCUCCCAAAGUGCUCAGCUUACAGGCUUGAGCCACCAUGCCCAGCUUCAACCUAUUCUUUAUGGGCCAGGUAAAUACCUCUUCCCCCAGGAAGCCUACCUUGACCGUGUUAGCCCAUUGAGCUCUCACCUGCCUUUCUCUUUGUAUUACCUAUUCCACUGAUUUGCCCCUGAGCACGGACAGCCCUGGCGUUUAUGCGGACAUCUGCCUUGUUGUCUCAGGUAGAUGAUGGGCUCCACGGGAACAGAGCAAACGUUCGCUCCUGCUCCUACACGGUGUUUCCUCUAAACCUGAGGCUCAGCCGACUUGUCAUCACUUAAAACCCAAUUCAGAGCGGGGGGGCACUGCCAGUGAAUAGUUCAUCACCGACUCAGUUUCCCCAUGUGUAUGCUGUGGUAUUGGAUCAGCAACGAGAUAAGAAGAUCUCUCCCAUUUCCAAGCGUCUAUGAUGAUUCUGAGGCACAAGGUCACAUUUGACAGUACUAGGAAACCCAGGAAACAAGAAGCAAAGAUGACAAAGGCUGUGUCUGCCUGGGCAGACGAUCUAUUUGGACAAGAUAAUAGACCCAGGCAUGGACAUGCUCUCCAAGAAAGAUGCCCUGACAGCUGCUCACACUGAAGCUGAAUCGAACAUUCCAAUCCUUAGAGGUUCCAGCGAAGAUCUUGAAGUCUCCCUGAGCCAUUGACACAAUGGCCAUGCCAUCCCAGUGAUAAAACACAAAUUGUGGCCUUGUUUUGGACAGAAAUAAAGAGCCCAGUUUGUUAGUGAUUUACUGAUAAUAAC